rnacentral:rRNA from 1 species
CCCUUAGAUGUUCUGGGCCGCACGCGCGCUACACUGAUGACUUCAACGAGCCUUGCGCCUUUGCGCGCAUGUCCUUCCCAGGAAUGGGCGGGUAAUCUUUUAAAUGGUCAUCGUGAUGGGGCUAGAUCUUUGCAAUUAUUGAUCUCCAACGAGGAAUUCCUAGUAAACGGAAGUCAUCAGCUUCCAUUGAUUACGUCCCUGCCCUUUGUACACACCGCCCGUCGCACCUACCGAUUGAACGGUCCGGUGAAAUCUUUGGAUCGCUCGGCUUUUGCGUUUAUUCGUGUGGCUGAGCGAGAAAUUGAGUAAACCUUGCUGUUUAGAGGAAGGUGAAGUCGUAACA